GCUGCCCUUUGAGGGGAGCGAACACUGGAUACCACCGGGGCCCGGGAGGCGUGAAUCAAGUCCGAGGAGCCCUAAACAAGCAGCUAGCUGGUUAUCCACUAACCCUAGGAAGGGGGGGCUGAAGUGGCCUUUGGAUACGCCCCUGUACUUACCACACGCUGGAGGUAUGAAGUCUUCUUCCUCAGAUGAGUCGUCCUGCUUGCCCUGGUCCUUGAAGCAUUAGAAACCUGUGGAGUACCGAAGAAACUCGACACAACCACCAUCAGCACUGCCCAAUUCAUGAUAAACAGAGCGGAAUUAUUCAC